UACUGAGUGGCAGACGGGUGAGUAACAUGUGGGAAUCUGCCUUGUGGUUCAGGACAACAUUGGGAAACCGAUGCUAAUACUGGAUAAGCCCUUACGGGGAAAGUUUUAAUGCCAUAAGAUGAGCCCGCAUUUGAUUAGUUAGUUGGUGAGGUAAUGGCUCACCAAGACAAUGAUCAAUAGCUGAUCUGAGAGGAUGAUCAGCCACACUGGGACUGAGACACGGCCCAGACUCCUACGGGAGGCAGCAGUGGGGAAUCUUGCACAAUGGAGGAAACUCUGAUGCAGCGAUGCCGCGUGAGUGAAGAAGGCCUUUGGGUUGUAAAGCUCUUUUGUAGGGGAAGAUAAUGACUGUACCCUAAGAAUAAGGUCCGGCUAACUUCGUGCCAGCAGCCGCGGUAAUACGAAGGGACCUAGCGUAGUUCGGAAUUACUGGGCGUAAAGCGCGCGUAGGCCGUUGAGUUAGUUAAUUGUGAAAUCCCAAAGCUUAACUUUGGAACUGCAAUU
rnacentral:rRNA from 1 species